ACGCUGGGUUGCUCAGGGGAUACUUCAACUCUGUCACCAGAUAACUAACCUCCCGGUCCGUAGGCCAGAGGUUCGAACCCCGGGCACCAUCUAUCGUUUUU
ensembl:vault_RNA Vault Vault RNA